GACGAACGCUGGCGGCGUGCCUAAUACAUGCAAGUAGAACGCUGAAGAGAGGAGCUUACUCUUCUUGGAUGAGUUGCGCACGGGUGAGUAACGCGUAGGUAACCUGCCUUGUAGCGGGGGAUAACUAUUGGAAACGAUAGCUAAUACCGCAUAACAAUGGAUGACACAUGUCAUUUAUUUGAAAGGGGCAAUUGCUCCACUACAAGAUGGACCUGCGUUGUAUUAGCUAGUAGGUGAGGUAAUGGCUCACCUAGGCGACGAUACAUAGCCGACCUGAGAGGGUGAUCGGCCACACUGGGACUGAGACACGGCCCAGACUCCUACGGGAGGCAGCAGUAGGGAAUCUUCGGCAAUAGGGGCAACCCUGACCGAGCAACGCCGCGUGAGUGAAGAAGGUUUUCGGAUCGUAAAGCUCUGUUGUAAGUCAAGAACGGGUGUGAGAGUGGAAAGUUCACACUGUGACGGUAGCUUACCAGAAAGGGACGGCUAACUACGUG
rnacentral:rRNA from 1 species